CCCCGUCUCUACUAAAAAAUACAAAAAACUAGCUGGGCGAGGUGGCCGGUCCCUGUAGUCCCAGCUACUCCGGAGGCUGAGGCAGGAGAAUGGCGUAAACCUGGGAGGUGGAGCUUGCAGUGAGCUGAGAUCCGGCCACUGCACUCCAGCCCCAGCGACAGAGCGAGACUCCGUCUCAAAAAAAAACCCAAAAAACAAAAACAAACAAACAAAAAUAAAACCACAACAAAACCAAAACAAAACAAAACUUUGUGUCUCCUAAGAAGGGGACCCCUGCUGGGCGUGGUGGCUUACGCCUGUAAUCCCAGCACUUUGGGAGGCCGAGGUGGGCAAAUCACUUGAGGUCAGGGGUUCGAGACCAGCUUGACCAACAUGGUGAAACCCCAUCUCCACUAAAAAUACAAAAAUUAGCCACAUGUGGUUCAAACAAUUCUCCUGCCUCAUCUUCCUGAGUAGCUGGGACUCCAGGUGCCUGCCGCCGCGCCUGGCUACUUUUUGUAUUUUCAGUGGAGUUGGGGUUUUGCCACGUUGGCCAGGCUGGUCUUGAACUCCUGAACUCAGGUGAUCCACCUGCCUCGGCCUCCCAGAAUGCUGGCAUUACAGGCAUGAGCCACCGCACCUGGCCUGUCCUCUCUUUUUAAGAGUCCCAAGUCGCUCUCUCAGCACUCUACCCAAGCACCAGAUUUCUACCUUAAACGCCCUGAUUCUUGGGGAAAUCAGGAGCCCCCUACAAGUCCCUGGGGCCCACCAAUGCCCUUCCUGGGGCUGGGAACAGAACGUCUGACCCUGCUUCCCUCUCUCCCCGGCCCUCACAGAGGAUGACUCAGGCGAGGCGUCAUCUCAGAAUUCUAUGUCCAGCCAUGGAAAGCAGGGGGCUCUCAAGAAGCGGAAGGCGCCUCCACCUCCUGCCAGCAUCCCCAUGCCGUCCCCGGAGGCCAGCUCCCUGCACAGCCUGGAGAGACAGGUGCAAGAGCUGCAGCAGCUGCUGGUGGAGAGACAGGAGGAGAAGGAGAGCCUGGGACGGGAGGUGGAGAGUUUGCAGAGCCGGCUGUCCCUGCUGGAGAACGAGCGGGAGAAUACGAGCUACGAUGUGACCACUCUGCAGGAUGAGGAGGGUGAGCUGCCUGACUUUCCAGGGGCCGAGGCGCUGCUGUCCAGGCAACUCAGCCCGUCGGCCCAGGAACGCCUGGCCUCACUGCAGGAACAGGUGGCUGUGCUCACCAGACAGAACCAGGAACUGAUGGAGAAGGUCCAGAUCCUGGAGAACUUUGAGAAGGACGAGACACAGAUGGAAGUGGAAGCUUCAGCAGAGGUCAUCCCUCUUGCCCUCUAUGACUCUCUCCGGGCCGAGUUUGACCAGCUGCGCAGGCAGCAUGCUGAGGCCCUGCAGGCACUGAGGCAGCAGGAGACAGGAGAGGUCCCCAGAGAAGAGAGGGCAGCCUGUGGGGAGAGUGAGGGUGUUGGAGCCACAGCCACCAAAAACAGACCAACCCACAUGGAGCUAAAUGGCUCAGUGGCUCCAGAAACCAAAGUUAACGGAGCCGAGACCACAGAUGAGAAGGCUGCAGGAGAUGAAACCAUGGAAGCCAGGACUAUGGAAGCCACGUCCAUGGCAGCUGAGGCCACGGGAGCUGAGGCCACAGGAGUCAUGGCCACAGAGACAAAACUCACAGGAGCUGAGGUCAGAGAAAUGGAGACUGUAGAAGAGGAAGCAAACAUGGAAACUAAGCUCACAGGAGCGCAGACCACAGACACAGAGGCCACAGGAAUGGAGGCCACAAAAACAAAAGCAGAGGAAGCAGAAGUGCAGGCCUGCGGAGUGGGUGCUGGGCAACCAGAGCCCCCAGUCACAGGGACCACAAACAUGGAGGCCACAGGCACCACAAACAUGGAGGCCACAGGCUCUAGGGCCACGGGGGUGGAAGCCACAGGAGUCAGUGCCACAGGUGUAGAGAACCCAGGGGUAGAAGCCAUGGCCCUGGGGGUCUCUGCUGGCCCCGUCCUACAUCCUGGUGCCGCAGAGGCCUCGGAAAAGCUUCAAGUAGAGCUGGAGACCAGGAUUCGCGGCUUGGAGGAGGCGCUCCGGCAGCGGGAGCGGGAGGCAGCUGCGGAGCUGGAGGCGGCCCUGGGGAAGUGCGAGGCCGCGGAAGCAGAGGCGGGCCGGCUGCGAGAGCGCGUCCGCGAGGCCGAGGGCAGCGGGGCCAGCGUGGUGGGUGGUGGCAGCGACACCGCACAGCUGCGGGCCGCCCUGGAGCAGGCCCGGGAGGAUCUCCGAGACCGGG
ensembl:lincRNA